rfam:Glycine soja cultivar W05 scaffold4668_4, whole genome shotgun sequence.
GCCGAGCUGAGUUACGUUAGCUUGUGACCCAAGUGGGGGCACCAAGGUGAUGGAACAGUUCUUUGGCUUUGCUGGGUUGGGCUGUGACCGCAAAAUGUUGGCCUGCCCGCUCCAAGUUGAGAAUUGAAUCAUGGGACUUGAGCGAAGGCAUAGGUCUCCUGGUUCUUAGAGUGGAGGGCACUGCGUGAGGCUGGUUUCACAGAACAGCGAACACCUCCCAUUCCCAACAGUGGAGGGAUAACAGGUUGCUGCAAUCACAGUCCAUCAUGGCCUGGUGAGCCUAGAAGCUUGGACCAUCAUUUUU